UACGUAGGGGGCUAGCGUUGUCCGGAAUCAUUGGGCGUAAAGAGCGUGUAGGCGGCCCGGUAAGUCCGCUGUGAAAGUCGGGGGCUCAACCCUCGGAUGCCGGUGGAUACUGUCGGGCUCGAGUACGGAAGAGGCGAGUGGAAUUCCUGGUGUAGCGGUGAAAUGCGCAGAUAUCAGGAGGAACACCUAUUGCGAAGGCAGCUCGCUGGGACGUUACUGACGCCGAGAC
rnacentral:rRNA from 1 species